GGGCGUUCCUUCUCACUUACGCCUAUGUUCGUUUAAAAUCACUAGCGCAAGAAAUAUUAACUUUCGCAAAUGAUUGAUGUAUUACGCUUUCGUGUUUCAUGCUCGUUAUUUCGUAAUAACGCGAUUAUUGGUCUUUCUUACUCAUUAUUUCCCGGUGAACAUCGGCGUCAGCUUUCCUGGAACGAUUUCUGAAAUCAUUUAAACAAGUCGAUUCCGCAUCGUUUAUCCUUCUUUGAAUUUCCUUCGUUUAUUGGUUCAAAAUUAAUCUCAAAAUUAAAGAAAAAUUCAAAAUUGUUGUACACGUAAGUAUGUAUGUCGUCGAAUGUGUAACGUUUUUCGAAAUAAUCCUAAUGAACGAUCAUCGAUAAAUGAAGGCUAGGAAGACGAAGAAGACGAUAUUUUACACUUGUACAACAGUUUCAAAAUGCGGUACACUCGUAUCGCUAUUAAUCUUACGAUUAAUCUUACGUUACUAAAAUUGUUCUUUUAUCUGAUUUUAAUGUUAAAGAUGUAUUUUACCGCCCUUUUCGUAGCUUAAAAAUCAGUGCUUCUUACGAUAUUGAGCGUAUUAAAAUGUUCAAUCGUCGUCAACGGUUAUACAAUACCUUCUUUUUGGCCUGUGCAAAAUUUUGUUACUUAUAUUUGUCAACUUAAUAAAUCCUUUCUAUCUUUAGCUGCGAAUUUUAUAUAAUUAACGGAAUAAAAUAUUAAAAUAGUUGAAAUUACUAAAAUUAUCUGCUUAUCGUGUGCUUUCCCUGUAAUCUUCAAACGUGAUAUCGUUAUAUUCUAAUUCUUGUAAAUCGUAGCCUCGCGAGACGAUUUGAAUAAGCGGAAGGACGAAAUCAUCGUUUUUGGUAAUCCUAGCGAUCCAUGGCCGUGUUCCAAAUCCUUGACUUCUCGCGGACGCACUCAGAUACGUGCAAGAAAACGGAGUCAAGAACGUAAGUAGCAGCCAGCGACGUAUGUGAACACAUUCGUUUUACCGGUUGUCUACCUGUUCUGGGUCAGUCGCGUGUGCAAGGUCAGAUCCCAAGAAUCUCCAACGUCACUCGUCAAAGCCGAAGACCGCGGUUCUCGCGUACCGUCUACAGUAGAAUGGUCGUCAUUUUUACCUUCGAUUCGACGACUCACCGCGAGAAAUAUACGCGUAUACUUCCUACCGGCAUUGAUGAAUCCGAUUUUUCUUCCAUUCCAUGGCUAUCGCAUUGAACGAUUUUCAUUUCAAUCUCCUAUAUUAUACUAAACUGAAAUUCGCCUAAAUUUGUCUCUUGAAAAAUUUCACUUUGCUACUUCACUUGCUUAAAUUUGUAACUUAAACAAUAGUAAUAUUAACCUAAACGCUAAAGUAUAAUCUAUAAAGCUUACAAACUUUAUGCGACUUUUAAGACACUUUCAGUGUGUAAUUUUAUUGUCGAGCGACAACAAAAGCCCGCGAAACAUUAUAUAGAUAGACAGUAAGAUACAAGCAUCACGAAAAACAAUCGAGUUGUAAGAACCUAAGCGACUUUAUUCCACUACAUUCAACGAUUAUCUUAUCCGCAUCACUGAAGACAAAAACAUUAUAUUUCUAUAGAUAUUGUCAACUCUUGUUCCUUUAUUACCUUUCGCUUUUGCGAAUGUAUCACAUUGUAUAUUGUAUCUAAUUGCAGAAAGAUUAUAUCUCUAAUUGUUCAAAAGAAAAUUGUUCUAGAAACCUAAAACAUAAUAUUAUACCAUAAAUGACUAUUACUACAAAGUCCAAGUCUACAACUUGCAAAAAUAAAGGAUAAGAAUAAAUGACGAAAGUAGAUAAACUGAUUGCAAUAGCAACUAUAUAUACUCGUAUAUAUAUAUAUGUAAACAAGAAAAUUAUGCGUUAUUGUAAAUGCCUAUUGUAAAUAACGAAAGUAUUAUACGAAUAGGCGAUGAAUGAAUGACAACGUACUCUGACUAAGAAAUGAAUCGUUUUCUAGUGUAAAGCCGAUAUGUAGCUUGAAUCAUCGCCGAAUUUUUAAUCAGAGUUUCAGUCGCGCAUACGUGAAUAACAAGUCCUACGAUCUUUGCACACCAACUAACUAUUAUCGUUUUCAUUAUCGUUAACUGCUAAGACCGAAGCGACGUCACUGUUUCUCGAUCUGACGAGCCAUAAGUCAACACUAAAUAUAGUGAUCGCGUAUUAUUGCGCGUUUCUGGCCGGAUUCUUUGCAUGUUUAACCGUUGUUGUUGCAUGUUAAAUGUAGAAAUUAAUCGCGAGCAUAGUUACCUCUUACUCGAGAAUAAUUGCCAACUGUCGUCAUAUUAUUGAUAUUUUCACUAUCGUCGAAUACUGUUCCAAUAAAUCAGUCACGUAUUUAUUUAUUUAUCAUCAACGUAUCGCUUCAUUUCAUUCGUUUCAUUCAUUUCAUCAUAAAGUUGUGCGAAUAUGGAAAUAUUUGCCUCUUUCAAAGAAUCACAUUCCGAUCGAUGAAAUAAGUAUGGAUGAGAAAAUUUUUAUAGCGAAUUAACACGAUUCCAUUUAAGAUCCGAUUACAGUUGUAUAUUAUACCUCGAAAGGAAUUAGAGUAUCAUGAUACGAGAUGAAAUUAUUCACCGAGAAUCUUUCACCUCCUACUUAAGGACAAUUCAAGUAUUACGUAUAAACAGCCACUUGGUUGUACCUUGAGGAGAACAGAAGUACAUAAGAGGGAUCACUUUUGUUCUUACCAAGGAAAAGUGAAGACGAAUCCGUGAAGAAAUGCCCAACUACAGUCAUUUUUUGUCAAGAAUAUUCCUCUUCAACUUCGACUUUCAAAGCGUUUCCUCAAGUUCGACAUUUCUUUCCGUAAAUUUUCGAUUGUGCGAAAGGUGUGUUAUAUAAGGUCUUUGACCUCGUUACGGUGAUUCCCGAUAGUUUCACUGUCUGGACCGAAUGCACGCGGCUAGUCCAAUGAGAAAGAACCUUAAGUACUCUUCUGGGUGGGUGCGUUGAACUUACCGUCGCAUUCCGUAUUGAUUUCGGUGGCACUGCGCGACUGGAGCCAGACGUUACCUACGGCACGUGUCCGUGUAGGGCAGACACGCCCAAUCCGGACUUUCCAUAGAACGAAAUCGGUGAUUCCAUGGAGAUUAAAGAAUGUACAAAAUAUGUCGAUGUUCUCGUGGAAACUGCACCAGACACUUUCACUGAAAACGACGGAUGACUAAAGCGUGGACAUAAUCGGUUAAUCGUUAUGCCGAUGGCACAGCCUUACGCAAGGCCUCGAAGACCUUGAACGGAACCUUAUUUGGUAAGCAAGGUCGAGGCUUUGCGGACCAUUGGGUUUUCAGGCCGCCCACAAUGCACCUCCACCUUACUUGGAUUUAAUUCUUCCUAUUGCGGACCUGCCACGAUAACGAAGAAAGUAAAUAGAGACACGUCGUGUGAUACGACAGGAGCAGCUGGAGCAGCGAAGGUUAAUACUAACGCGUGCUGUUAAAACAUAGUCAUAUAUAAGGCAUUUUACUUACAUUAUCAAUUGCAAAUAUGCAUAUUUCUAUCUGUACUAUAAUUUUCAUCGAAAAGUGUAUAACAUGUAUUUUUAUAUGAACCACGUAGAGGUCGAUCUGCCCAAUCACGGCGAACAAAUUUUGAUAGAGGUUAAUCGUUUGGUUUCUAUGAAACUAAACACUAAUAUGACAAAAAUUAUGAAAUUUUCAAAAAAUACAAUUCAUCGGUUCGGUUUCUGCAUGACUCAUAUAUUCUCUUUGAACUUUGUAUAAUCAAUAAAAAUAAUUUCCAUAGA